GUCGACGGUCUCGAAGUUCGAGAUUGGAUGUUCGAAGUCCUUCUCGACGUUCGAGGUUAGAAGUUCGAAGUUCGAAUAAGAAGGAAUUGGCUGAAGGCCAAUUCCAACAAGCAUCGAACGUCGAGCAUCGAAUUUCGAAUAUCGAGAAAGAGCCACGAAUGUCGAACCUCGAACUUCGAGAAUAGUGGCGGACGGGUGAGUAACGCGUGGAUAACCUGCCUAUUAGCCUGGGAUAACGCCUGGAAACGGGUGCUAAUACCGGAUACGCUCAUUGGGCUGCAUAACCUAAUGAGGAAAAGGUUACUGCUAAUAGAUGGGUCCGCGUCCCAUUAGCUUGUUGGUAGGGUAACGGCCUACCAAGGCGACGAUGGGUAGCCGGCCUGAGAGGGCGAUCGGCCACACUGGAACUGAGACACGGUCCAGACUCCUACGGGAGGCAGCAGUGGGGAAUCUUCCGCAAUGGGCGAAAGCCUGACGGAGCAACGCCGCGUGAGUGAUGAAGGCCUUCGGGUUGUAAAACUCUGUCCAGGGGGAAGAAAAAAAUGACGGUACCCCUGGAGGAAGCCCCGGCUAACUACGUGCCAGCAGCCGCGGUAAAACGUAGGGGGCAAGCGUUGUCCGGAAUUACUGGGCGUAAAGGGCGUGUAGGCGGCAAUGUAAGUCAGGAGUGAAACCCGUCGGCUUAACCGACGGCCUGCUUCUGAAACUGCAUCGCUUGAGUGCAGGAGAGGGAAGUGGAAUUCCCAGUGUAGCGGUGAAAUGCGUAGAUAUUGGGAGGAACACCAGUGGCGAAAGCGGCUUCCUGGCCUGUAACUGACGCUGAGGCGCGAAAGCGUGGGGAGCAAACAGGAUUAGAUACCCUGGUAGUCCACGCCGUAAACGAUGGGUGCUAGGUGUUGGGGGUAUCGACCCCUCCAGUGCCGCAGUUAACGCAAUAAGCACCCCGCCUGGGGAGUACGGCGCAAGGCUGAAACUCAAAGGAAUUGACGGGGGCCC
rnacentral:rRNA from 1 species